GAUCAACUCUUGAUCGCACAAUUUUAUAUUGAGGUGUAUGUAAAAAGUUGAGGUUAGCUCCAACCAGCAGACUAUCGAACUGUUGGCGCGAGGCAUUGAAGUAGAAAUGAUCAUAUAAUGAAAUUGAAGGCAAUCUUAUUUCUCUUAUUUAAGUGGGUGAUGCAACAAGGCCAAACUGAAGUUUUUUGUCGAAAAAGUGUAUUAUUUAUUAGGGAACAAACGCAACAACGAACGAUGCCACGCGUGCACAGCUUAAUUUUUACCAAUGACCAACGCAGAUUUGUUCGUCCCUUUCCGUGAUGUAUCGAACACGAAGUCUGUCGUAGAAGUCCUGUACCCGAUAUCAAUUACUGUCCAUAGCCACUCGAAUUCACUUGACCCGCUAUUUCCUUGUGGGGUAUUCUAGUAUUUCGAGAUGAGGACGCCCACGAUAAGUUUUGUAAAUACUAUACUAAAACAUCAGGUAAGCACGCAAUGGGAGAAGGUUGUUCACAGAUGAUCGACUUUUUCCUCAAAGUAAAUGCAUACAACAUUAUAUCUCGUUCGAUGUGACAGAAUCAAUUUUCCAGGAAAUACAGCUUUCUAGCUAUUGUGUAGAGCUGAAUAUAAGGGCUGCCUUAAGAAACCCAUUGAGAAGAAACGUCUUCCCCAUGGUGAGUUUUUUGACAAUCCAGCAUAAGAGCGAUUAUUUUUGAAGAUGUCGUUCUCAAUCUAAUCUGUUUUUUCUUCGCCAUGAGAAGCCUACGAACAAAAAAUCACUAAAAUCGAUUUCUAGCCACGUAAAAAAAAAUACUACUGAUUAUUAGUAUAUAGAAAUAUGUACAGUCAGCCAUUUUAACAGUUAAUCUAUUAUAUCUACAUCCAGUUAUAAUACAAACAUAGUAGUUGGCUGUUACAAGCGAGUGCGGUAGACGGUCAGAUUGCAUUACGCGCUUCUUCUAAAUGAGGAUUGUCUAAUAUAUAUAUAUAUAUAUAUAUACGCUUUUACAAAUCUGUAGCGGAAACCGGUUAAGUUCAUUCUAGAAGAAAGUAAAAUGUAUCGUUUCGAAGGGAUCUCGAAAAUUAGCGCUCAGUGAAUAUUGUAGUUCUGAGGACCAGCGAGGUGUCUGGAUCCGAGGGAUAGAAACACAUUUGAAGGGGCUUUUCAAGCAGAACUGGGAGUCGGCCAAAGCUGCCACUCCAUAUGCAAUUAUUAUAUGUACAAAACUAUACAAUGAAAAUGCGGAAACUGGUUAAAAACGCGUGUGCUGUGGAACCUAGGUGCAUGCAGGCGUUGAUUAGCCUCGGCCGAAGCGGCGACAAGCGAGAGAAUGGCGUCGCCCUGGAGAGAAAUCGCGUUCAGGAGCACGUUUGAAUAAGCUCACAGGUAAGGUGGCAGUAGGAGUAUUUACUAUGGAAAGAUAAUCUGCCGAAAAUGAAAUGAUCAGUGCAACCCGGUAUUUCGAGUUCCCCAAGAGACUUCUAAGCCGUUGGCAUGGCAAUCGAAAGGACGCAGUUUGGUUACCUGGUGACAAAGCCAUGAUCAUCUUCAGUCUCCAUUACUUCUCCGAUUGGGCAAGGAAAUAUCGGCUUUAACCAGCCUACCAUGCCGAGCUAGGCCCGCUUGAUUAGGAGGUUCUUUAUGCCUUAAAAAGCGCAUCUAGUGGGUAAACAUAUCUUACUAUCGAUUUAACGUUGAGAAAUAGAAAAAUCACAUAGACGAUUAGUAGGUUUAGGGGCUACCACAACGCCAACGGUUCUGUGCAAAAGGUUAAAAGGGAAAUCAUCAUUCUAGCCCAUCAACUAGCUCGCUCAUAACGGCCUAGCAAGAACUUUGCUUGAAAGUAAAAACAUUACUGCUUUAUUAACGUGACUUCUCGUUCUAGUGGCCAGUCACAGAAUUCCGUAGUUAGAACACAAAAUCAUCGUAACUUUAGCAUGGACUUAGAGCCUGUCCCGGAACGUCAAUGACGGAACUUUGCAGCGCGUACAUUUUCCAAGGAGAUUUCCUUAACCUUCCACCAGCUAAAAGGAUUUGAAUCCCUUAACUGGAGUUGAAUAAUUAGCGAACGUGUAUUUUGAAUUGUGUUCAACAGGAGAACUGCUCUUUAUCAUUCACAACGUUGGCGACAAAAUCAUAGUGGAGGUAACAGAUGUAUUGUCACAUUUGUAUUACAUUUACUUAGUGGUUUUCAGUAUAUAGAACCGCUCGGUUCAUGCGACCUUAAACAUCUAGCCACUUUUCUCUACUAUCAGUUGAUGCCUAAAAGUAAUGCCUGAGGUGCGUCACAUACAUUCACAGUAUGGGACAUCCUUCGUUCGCCGCAUAGGAUACGGAUGACCGACUGGAGAUUAUGUUCAGAAUUUAAGAACGUGGCAACGAUCGCGUGAGUUAGGAUAUUAUGUCGCCAGUUUUUUGGUCCUCAAUUGUAAAUUUUGAUGAGCGACUCGAGAGGACAUACGGCGAAGGUUGUCCAGGUUCAAAAAAACUUGGAUGUGGUUAACGUGCAUUGCCUAGGGAGUAGAUCAAAAGCUAUGAAUUGAGACAUUCUAACGUAACAAUCAAUUUAUAUACUCAACAUUAUUGGUAUAUUGAUAUAAACAAAAUUUCAUCCAGGAAAAAACUGCGACGUAAAUCGUGCGUAUCGGUAAUCGUCGAUGACUGGUCUAGCUUUUUUUUUUUGUUCUUUUUAUGCCAAUAGCAUACAUUGUUGAGCUACUAAAUGAAUUAGUCAGCCAAUGUUUGCUAGAAAAUGAACAAUCGCGUUUUUCUAUUGACUCCAGGAUCAUUCGUAGUAUUCAAUUUUUGAUAGAGUCUCAUAAUUUUUUCUGUUAUGAACGCUAGAGGCGCCAUUUUUUCAUGAAAUGGUCAGGUGUUGAACGAGCGUUACGCUGAACGAGUAUGGUUCAGCUUGUUUGCUGAGGUGCGACUGGCAAGCAAAACCUGUGACGGUUAAGGAUCAACUUGUUGUCCUAAAGCGGCGUCGCCUUUUGGACUGGAGACGCGCUGAUCUAAUAAAUGGUAGCAGACAACAAUGAAGCAGCCUUGUAAAUGACGCGCGAUCUGCUGACUAUGGAUCGGCGGCCAGUUCUAUGAUGACAGCUG